rnacentral:rRNA from 1 species
GAUGAACGCUAGCGGGAGGCUUAACACAUGCAAGUCGAGGGGUAAAGAGUAGCAAUACUUUGAGACCGGCGGACGGGUGCGUAACGCGUAUGCAACAUACCUUGUGCAGGGGGAUAGCCCGUGGAAACGCGGAUUAAUAUUCCAUAGAUCAGUGAUACUGCAUGGUAUAACUGGUAAAGUUGAGGCGGCACAAGAUUGGCAUGCGUCUGAUUAGCUGGUUGGUAGGGUAACGGCCUACCAAGGCGACGAUCAGUAGGGGUUCUGAGAGGAACAACCCCCACACUGGUACUGAGACACGGACCAGACUCCUACGGGAGGCUG